UGACCGUGCUAAGGUAGCAUAAUCAUUUGCCGUUUAAUUGAUGGCUGGAAUGAAUGAAUAUACGUAAGCUCAACUGUCUCCUUUUUACCUAUAAAAAUUGACCUCCAAGUGAAGAGACUUGGAUUAACCAAAAAGACGAAAAGACCCUAUAGAGCUUCACCUGACCUUCACUCGUCCAAGAGAAGGUUUAGUUGGGGCAACUAGAGAGUACCUAAAACCUCUCUUCCAAAAAACCUAUUUAGAUCCGUUACACGAUCAGCAGAGAAAGCUACCUUAGGGAUAACAGGCUAAUCCUCUUUGAGAGACCAUAUUGACAAGAGGGGUUGGCACCUCGAUGUUGGCUCAAGGUUACAGCUUGAUGC
rnacentral:rRNA from 1 species